ACCCCGAAAUCGCGAAAAAAAAAUUUGGCUGUUUCAUACAUUUUGUCUAGUCCAUUUUCUAUGGGAGGGUAAUUUUUUUUCCAGCAACCAUUUUCUUGCCAGCAGCGGAAAAGCACUUAUUUUAUGGCCACCCUGUAUAAUGACAAUAAAUUCGAGAGUACCUGCAAGUAACAACUACUGAACUCUCUGAAGUUCGAUUUUAUGUCUAAAACAGAAGUAUCUCCGUUUUUAGGGUUCCGUACCCAAAGGGUAAAACGGGACCCUAUUACUAAGACUCCGCUGUCCGUCCGUCCGUCCGUCCGUCAAUCACCAGGCUGUAUCUCACGAAUCGAGAUAGCUAGACAGUUGAAAUUUUCACAGAUGAUGUAUUUCUGUUGCCGCUAUAACAACAAAUACUAAAACAGAAUAAAAUAAAGAUUUAAGUGGGGCUCCCAUACUGUUGUAAACGUGAUUUUUGAUAGAAGUUAAGCAACGUCGGGCUCGGGCGGGGUCAGUACUUGGAUGGGUGACCGUUUUUAUAGAUAAUGGUACGGAACCCUUCGUGUGCGAGUCCGACUCGCACUUGGCCGGUUUUUAUUUAGAACGCAGUUGAUUUAUAAGGUUUACUUGAUCCUUGUGGGAAGCAAAUGAAGCUUUAUUUGUAAGUAUGUAUGUAAAAUAAAAUAAUAUUAAUAAUCUAUCAACCGCAUCUAGAUCGAUAGUGCUCGUCAAGGAAAAUCUAUUGAGCCCAAACACGAUGGAGUUAUGAUGAGUAGAUUAGGAUAGAUUAGGAUUUCUGGUGACCAACUCCUGACUCCAUCAUGAGAACCUGGACUUCAUCUAGAUCAAUGGUGCUCGUCGGGGCAAAUCUAUUGAGCCCAAACACGAUGGAGUUAUGAUGAGUAGAUUAGAACAUCUGGUGACCAUCUCAUGAUGGAGUCAGGAGCUGGUCACCAGAAGGGUCUCAUGACCCUGGACCUCAUCUAGAUAGAUGGUGCUCGUCGAGGCAAAUCGAUUGAGCCCAAACACGAUGGAGUGAUAAUGAGUAGAUUAGGAGUUCUGGUGACCAACUCCUGACUCCAUCAUGAGAACCUGGACCUCAUCUAGAUCGAUGGUGUUCGUCAAGGAAAAUCUAUUGAGCCCAAACAGGAUGGAGUUAUGAUGAGUAGAUUAGGAGUUCGGUGACCAUUACUGACUCCAUCAUGAGAACCUGGACUUCAUCUAGAUCGAUGGUGCUCGUCGGGGCAAAUCUAUUGAGCCCAAACACGAUGGAGUUAUUAUGAGUAGAUUAGAACAUCUGGUGACCAUCUCAUGAUGGAGUCAGGAGUUGGUCACCAGAAGGGUCUCAUGACCCUGGACCUCAUCUAGAUAGAUGGUGCUCGUCGAGGCAAAUCGAUUGAGCCCAAACACGAUGGACUUAUGAUGAGUAAAUUAGGACUUCUGGUGACCAUCUCAUGAUGGAGUCAGAAGUUGGUCACCAGAAGGGUCUCAUGACCCUGGACCUUAUCUAGAUAGAUGGUGCUCGUCAGGGCAAAUCAUUUGAACCCAAACACGAUGGAGUGUUAAUGAGUAGAUUAGGAGUUCUGGUGACCAACUCCUGACUCCAUCAUGAGAACCUGGACCUCAUCUAGAUCGAUGGUGUUCGUCAAGGAAAAUCUAUUGAGCCCAAACACGAUGGAGUUAUGAUGAGUAGAUUAGGAGUUCGGUGACCAUUCCUGACUCCAUCAUGAGAACCUGGACAUCAUCCAGGUCGUCCGGGUAUAAUAAAAAUGCAAACCCUAACCAGAAUUCAAGUAACACUGAAAAUCUAUCACAUAAGCGAGAGUCGGUUGUUAAAAUUAAAUAUGGUGUAAAAAAUGUACACCCUUGGAUCAAGAUUUUCUAAUCAUAGUAUACAGCACUUCUCGGAACUCUCUCGAUGGUUACGAAAGCAACGAACGCCUGACGGUCGAGCACAGGUCCGUCCCCUAAGCGCACUCGGCGGAGACUGAGCGCGCGGUGUCGGUGCAGCGUGAUUUAUACGUCUUUAAAAAAAUAUAGAUUUACGGCUAGGUAGGUCCUAUAGUUAUGAUUUUUUUUUUAUGAGUAGACAUAAAGUUACAAUUUGUUAAAAUAUUAUUUUUGGGGCAAAAUAUAAGUCCAAUUUGCGAUAAAAAAAUGUAAUGUAACCCUGUUUUCACCAAAAAAAUGAAGAAAACUCGGAAGGUUUUUUAUCAAUUUUUUAAAAUGAAUCUUCGAUUUUCAAGCAUGUCAGCCCCUCGUACAAGAUAUGGUGAGUUGAAUUGUAAUCAUUCAUGUACCAAAUGAUUCUUGUUUACUGCAAAAUUGAGAACCGAAACGACCCUUCUCACUGCAAAAUUUGAAAAAGACUCCUAAGAAAACUCAUU